GGCCACUCCAGAAGGUCAGGACUCUGACUGGGCCACUCCAGAAGGUCAGGACUCUGACUGGGCCACUCCAGAAGGUCAGGACUCUGACUGGGCCACUCCAGAAGGUCAGGACUCUGACUGGGCCACUCCAGAAGGUCAGGGCUCUGACUGGGCCACUCCAGAAGGUCAGGGCUCUGACUGGGCCACUCCAGAAGGUCAGGACUGACUGGGCCACUUGUCUAUUAAAGUAUAUUUUGUUAAUAGACAAACACAGUCUGCUUAAACUAAUAACACGCAAACAAUUAGAAUUUGGAUGUUUUCAUUGAGCACACCGUGUAAACAUUCACAGUGCAGGUUGGGAAAAUGAUGUGAACCCUUGGAUUUAAUAACAAGUUGACCCUCCUUUGGCAGCAAUAACCUCAACCAAACGUUUUCUGUAGUUGCGGAUCAGACAUGCAAACAAGUGAAGAGGACUUUUUGACCAUUCCUCUUUACAAAAAUGUUUCAGUUUUACAAUAUUCUUGGGAUGUCUGGAGUGAACCACUCUCUUGCGGUCAUGCCACAGCAUCUCAAUGUGGUUGAGGUCAGGACUGACUGGGCCACUCCAGAAGGUCAGGACUGACUGGGCCACUCCAGAAGGUCAGGACUGACUGGGCCACUCCAGAAGGUCAGGACUGACUGGGCCACUCCAGAAGGUCAGGACUGACUGGGCCACUCCAGAAGGUCAGGACUGACUGGGCCACUCCAGAAGGUCAGGACUGACUGGGCCACUCCAGAAGGUCAGGACUGACUGGGCCACUCCAGAAGGUCAGGACUCUGACUGGUCCACCCCAGAAGGUCAGGACUCUGACUGGGCCACUCCAGAAGGUCAGGACUCUGACUGGGCCACUCCAGAAGGUCAGGACUCUGACUGGGCCACUCCAGAAGGUCAGGACUCUGACUGGACCACUCCAGAAGGUCAGGACUGACUGGGCCACUCCAGAAGGUCAGGACUCUGACUGGGCAACUCCAGAAGGUCAGGACUCUGACUGGGCCACUCCAGAAGGUCAGGACUGACUGGGCCACUCCAGAAGGUCAGGACUCUGACUGGGCCACUCCAGAAUGUCAGGACUCUGACUGGACCACUCC
ensembl:lncRNA